rnacentral:rRNA from 1 species
UAGAGUUUGAUCAUGGCUCAGGAUGAACGCUAGCGGCAGGCCUAAUACAUGCAAGUCGAGGGGUAAGAGUCAGCUUGCUGACUACACGACCGGCGCRCGGGUGCGUAACGCGUAUGCAACCUACCUUUAACAGAGGAAUAGCCCCGAGAAAUCGGGAUUAAUACCACAUAACAUUAUGAUAUGGCAUCAUAUUAUAAUUAAAACUCCGGUGGUUAAAGAUGGGCAUGCGUGACAUUAGCUAGUUGGUGAGGUAACUGCUCACCAAGGCUACGAUGUCUAGGGGUUCUGAGAGGAUGAUCCCCCACACUGGUACUGAGACACGGACCAGUCUCCUACGGGAGGCAGCAGUAAGGAAUAUUGCGCAAUGGAGGCAACU